UGCCAGCCGCCGCGGUAAUACAGAGGGUGCUAGCGUUGUUCGGAAUCACUGGGCGUAAAGAGCGUGUAGGCGGCUUAGAAAGUCAGGUGUGAAAUCUCGGUGCUUAACACCGAAAUUGCAUCUGAAACUUCUAGGCUAGAGUGCAGUAGAGGCUGGCGGAAUUCCUAGUGUAGAGGUGAAAUUCGUAGAUAUUAGGAAGAACACCGGUGGCGAAGGCGGCCAGCUGGGCUGUUACUGACGCUAAAGCGCGAAAGCGUGGGGAGCAAACAGGAUUAGAUA
rnacentral:rRNA from 1 species